CUUUUCCAAUCAAACUCGGAAGCGGACAAGCCCAAAGCUCUGUCUGGCUGCUCAGGAACAAAAGGAACAAAACUGCCAGGGGCCCCAUUUGUGAGCUAUUCAAUCCUUUGCCAUCGGACUUUGGACAAAGGAAGAGAAGGAUCUGUUCCACACGGGUGUCAUCCAACAAGAACAGCCCCUGUGCCAUCCCCAGCCUGUGCCGAGCACGCUGCCUCACUUUCCCCGUUCUGGAUUCUGGCUCCAAUCCAGUCUGCGUUUUCCCCUAUUUUCCAUGUCUAGAGACAGGAAAUUGUCCUGGUCAGGGUGCUAAGACCUUAAACUGCACGUUGGUCUGGGGGGCUGUGACUGGGAUUCCAGCAGGGAAUUCAUGGUUGUACGAAUGAAAACUAUUCCAGGGGGCAGCACUGAAAAAGUUGGGAGCUGCUGCUUCACCACACGGUGUCAGCAAAAGAGAGCACACACAAAAUGUGUAGCCAAAACCAAGGAUAAAAUGAUUCCUCCUGCUCUUAGUGGGACCAGGGCUAAUUCUGCCCUGGAAUGACAAAGACCUUCUCCCUCAGACCCCCAGAGAGCCCUCGAAAAGCUAAAGUGCAGCAGGGAAGGAAGGAAGGAAAGGCACCUCUGCCUCACCUGCUGGGGACAGCACAGGUCCUGCUGCUCCCGGGGGCUGGGAAUGUGUCCGGAGCCAAAAGCACCUUCCCAGGCUGCAGGGGCUUUCCUAAAGCACCACCUGUGGGAAGCCAAGGGCUGUGGAAGAAAUGGAGUGGGACUUUACAGUAAUA